rnacentral:rRNA from 1 species
ACAGGCAAGUCGAACGGCAGCAUGAUCUAUACUUGCUAGAUUGAUGGCGAGUGGCGAACGGGUGAGUAAUACAUCGGAACGUGCCCUGUAGUGGGGGAUAACUAGUCGAAAGAUUACCUAAUACCGCAUACGACCUGAGGGUGAAAGUGGGGGACCGCAAGGCCUCAUGCUAUAGGAGCGGCCGAUGUCUGAUUAGCUAGUUGGUGAGGUAAAGGCUCACCAAGGCGACGAUCAGUAGCUGGUCUGAGAGGACGAUCAUCCACACUGGGACUGAGACACGGCCCAAACUCCUACGGGAGGCAGCAGUGGGGAAUUUUGGACAAUGGGGGCAACCCUGAUCCAACAAUGCC